rnacentral:rRNA from 1 species
CGUAGGGUGCGAGCGUUAAUCGGAAUUACUGGGCGUAAAGCGUGCGCAGGCGGUUUUGUAAGCCAGAUGUGAAAUCCCCGGGCUUAACCUGGGAAUGGCAUUUGGGACUGCAAGGCUGGAGUGCGGCAGAGGAGACUGGAAUUCCCGGUGUAGCAGUGAAAUGCGUAGAUAUCGGGAGGAAUACCGAUGGCGAAGGCAGGUCUCUGGGCUGGCACUGACGCUCACGCACGAAAGCGUGGGGAGCAAACAGGAUUAGAUACCCUGGUAGUCCACGCCCUAAACGAUGUCGACUGGUUGUUGGGGGUUUGACACUCUCAGUAACGAAGCUAACGCGUGAAGUCGACCGCCUGGGGAGUACGGCCGCAAGGUUA